UUCGCAAUGCCCGAAAGGGUGACGAAGCGACGCCGCGUGCGGGAAGAAGGCCUUCGGGUCGUAAACCGCUGUCGGGAGUUAAGAAAUGCAAGGGUGUUAACAGCAUCCUUGCUUGACUAAGGCUCCGGAGGAAGCCACGGCUAACUCUGUGCCAGCAGCCGCGGUAAUACAGAGGCGGCAAGCGUUGUUCGGAAUUAUUGGGCGUAAAGAGCACGUAGGCGGCUGUGUAAGUCGGUUGUGAAAGCCUUCCGCUCAACGGGAGAACGGCAUCCGAUACUGCAUAGCUUGAGUGCGGGAGGGGAGAGUGGAACUUCUGGUGGAGCGGUGGAAUGCGUAGAUAUCAGAAGGAACACCGGCGGCGAAGGCGACUCUCUGGCCCGUAACUGACGCUGAGUGUGCGAAAGCUAGGGGAGCAAACGGGAUUAGAUACCCCGGUAGUCCUAGCCGUAAACGAUGGGCACUAAGUAGAGGGGUUUUA
rnacentral:rRNA from 1 species